rnacentral:ncRNA from 1 species
CGCUGCUCAGAGCAAACCCGCCGAAAGGCGGUGACGCAGAGCUACGGGACUAAGGCGACGUCGGUCGCUAGGUCCGCCGGGCCGCCAGC